UUUGUGACUGAGCGGCGGACGGGUGAGUAACGCGUGGGUAACCUGCCUCAUACAGGGGGAUAACAGUUAGAAAUGACUGCUAAUACCGCAUAAGACCACGGUACCGCAUGGUACAGUGGUAAAAACUCCGGUGGUAUGAGAUGGACCCGCGUCUGAUUAGGUAGUUGGUGGGGUAACGGCCUACCAAGCCGACGAUCAGUAGCCGACCUGAGAGGGUGACCGGCCACAUUGGGACUGAGACACGGCCCAGACUCCUACGGGAGGCAGCAGUGGGGAAUAUUGCACAAUGGAGGAAACUCUGAUGCAGCGACGCCGCGUGAAGGAUGAAGUAUUUCGGUAUGUAAACUUCUAUCAGCAGGGAAGAAAAUGACGGUACCUGACUAAGAAGCCCCGGCUAACUACGUGCCAGCAGCCGCGGUAAUACGUAGGGGGCAAGCGUUAUCCGGAUUUACUGGGUGUAAAGGGAGCGUAGACGGCACGGCAAGCCAGAUGUGAAAGCCCGGGGCUCAACCCCGGGACUGCAUUUGGAACUGCUGAGCUAGAGUGUCGGAGAGGCAAGUGGAAUUCCUAGUGUAGCGGUGAAAUGCGUAGAUAUUAGGAGGACACCAGUGGCGAAGGCGGCUUGCUGGACGAUGACUGACGUUGAG
rnacentral:rRNA from 1 species